AUGUCGCCGUCCAAGGGCGUCCUCUUCUACGGGCCCCCAGGAUGUGGCAAGACCUUGCUAGCGAAGGCCAUCGCCAACGAGUGCCAGGCCAACUUCAUCAGCAUCAAGGGGCCAGAGCUGCUCACCAUGUGGUUCGGUGAGAGCGAGGCCAACGUGCGCGAGAUCUUUGAUAAGGCGCGCCAGUUUGCGCCAUGUGUGUUGUUCUUCGACGAGCUCGACUCCAUCGCAACCCAGAGGGGCGGCAGGGUGGGCGACGCCGGCGGCGCGGCGGACAGGGUCCUGAACCAGCUGCUCACCUAG
rnacentral:rRNA from 1 species